AUAAUUAUUAUUAUAUGUCUAUAAAAGUAAUAUACAAUUCGCUUUGUUCGCAAUUUUAGAAUCUGAAGAAUUCUUACUAGGCAAUUUCAAAAGCUACACCAAAAACGUUGUGAUUGGCUAAAAAAAAGUCUACAACAAUUGAAAUUAAACCAAUGGCGUUAUUUUCAUUUUAGAAACAAUACAAUUUCUCAUCGUUCUUUGAAUAGCGAUUUAAAAUUAGUACAAAAUUCUCAAAACAUAUUAUAUAUACAUUUAUAUUCUUUGAUGUACGAAUUCAAGUUUUAUUUUAAAAAAGAUUAAGAAGCCAUUGAAUUUCUGUUUAUUUCAGGUUUAACGCAACGUCAGAAUAUACAGAAAAGCUGGAUCUGAAAAGUAAUAAUUGUCGAUCUCGUGUCGGUGAGAACAAUUAUAAUUCAUUCAUAUAACAAUAGUAUGCUCAAAGAUGAUACAUAAUUCAGCAC
rnacentral:lncRNA from 1 species